rnacentral:snRNA from 1 species
AUCGCUUCUCGGCCUUUUGGCUAAGAUCAAGUGUAGUAUCUGUUCUUAUCAGUCAAAAGCAGUGGGAGUACACUGCGGCGUCCGUCAGGGCUGUCCGUUAUCUCCCCUU